rnacentral:rRNA from 1 species
GAUGAACGCUGGCGGCGUGCCUAAUACAUGCAAGUCGAGCGAACGGACGAGAAGCUUGCUUUUCUGAUGUUAGCGGCGGACGGGUGAGUAACACGUGGAUAACCUACCUAUAAGACUGGGAUAACUUCGGGAAACCGGAGCUAAUACCGGAUAAUAUUUUGAACCGCAUGGUUCAUAAGUGAAAGACGGUCUUGCUGUCACUUAUAGCUGGAUCCGCGCUGCAUUAGCUAGUUGGUAAGGUAACGGCUUACCAAGGCAACGAUGCAUAGCCGACCUGAGAGGGUGAUCGGCCACACGGGAACUGAGACACGGUCCAGACUCCUACGGGAGGCAGCAGUAGGGAAUCUUCCGCAAUGGGCGAAAGCCUGACGGAGCAACGCCGCGUGAGUGAUGAAGGUCUUCGGAUCGUAAAACUCUGUUAUUAGGGAAGAACAUAUGUGUAAGUAACUGUGCACAUCUUGACGGUACCUAAUCAGAAAGCCACGGCUAACUACGUG